rnacentral:other from 1 species
CGACCCCUGUGGUGUACGUGAUCGAUGGACAAUUUUUGAGCCAACACCUACGUCAAGGGAGCCCUAAUUAGGCUUCGGUGAGCCCGUGAUCCUGUCAUGAGCCUGAAGAAGUGCUAGGGCGCCCACCUUGACCCUAGUAUCAAGAAUCCCGUCAGACACGGCACGCACGGGGGUCGC